UUUUGAAUGGGCAAAGGUCAACAUUGGCAGACUGCGAGAUUUGACUUUGAAGGAUGUGAUUUCCAUGAUCUUUCUCUUUUUAUUUUUCUUGCAUUACAUUUCCAGAAAGGUAUGGAUGUUAGCUUUUUAAUGCCAUUGGAAUCACUUCGUUUCGACCUCUAGAACUCACGCUCUGCACAAAACAUCGACUGAACGUCAAAUCUGCCAAUUAC
rnacentral:lncRNA from 1 species